UUCCGGUUGAUCCUGCCGGAGGUCAUUGCUAUUGGAGUCCGAUUUAGCCAUGCUAGUUGUACGAGUUGAGACUCGUAGCAGAUAGCUCAGUAACACGUGGCCAAACUACCCUAUAGACCCAGACAACCUCGGGAAACUGAGGCUAAUCUGGGAUACGAUUCUCCUGCUGGAACUGCAGAGAAUCCGAAACGCUCCGGCGCUGUAGGAUGUGGCUGCGGCCGAUUAGGUAGACGGUGGGGUAACGGCCCACCGUGCCAAUAAUCGGUACGGGUUGUGAGAGCAAGAGCCCGGAGACGGUAUCUGAGACAAGAUACCGGGCCCUACGGGGCGCAGCAGGCGCGAAACCUUUACACUGCACGCCAGUGCGAUAAGGGGACUCCGAGUGCGAGGGCAUAUAGUCCUCGCUUUUCACCACCGUAAGGAGGUGGUAGAAUAAGUGCUGGGCAAGACCGGUGCCAGCCGCCGCGGUAAUACCGGCAGCACGAGUGAUGACCGCUAUUAUUGGGCCUAAAGCGUCCGUAGCUGGCCGUGCAAGUCCAUCGGGAAAUCUGCCCGCCUAACGGGCAGGCGUCCGGUGGAACCUGCAUGGCUUGGGACCGGAAGACCAGAGGGGUACGUCUGGGGUAGGAGUGAAAUCCCGUAAUCCUGGACGGACCACCGGUGGCGAAAGCGCCUCUGGAAGACGGAUCCGACGGUGAGGGACGAAAGCUCGGGUCACGAACCGGAUUAGAUACCCGGGUAGUCCGAGCUGUAAACGAUGUCUGCUAGAUGUGCCACAGGCUACGAGCCUGUGGUGUGUCGUAGGGAAGCCGUGAAGCAGACCGCCUGGGAAGUACGUCCGCAAGGAUGAAACUUAAAGGAAUUGGCGGGGGAGCACUACAACCGGAGGAGCCUGCGGUUUAAUUGGAUUCAACGCCGG
rnacentral:rRNA from 1 species